AGUGGGAGGUCGCAGGGCUGGCGGGGCAGGGAGAGCGCGAGCAGAAGAAAAGAAGAAACAAUGACAAGGAGAAACAGUUUGUGGCUGCAGCGGCCUUCCAGGGUCCCGCCAGACUUGAGCUCGUAGAACCCUGAAGCAGGCCCGGAAGGUAGCGAGUCUCCUUUCUCAGAAAGCUGGCGCCCAGAGAGAGCCCCUGGCAGGUCGCUUGCUCGCCCUGAAUCUCUAGUGCCCCUCAGCAAUGAGCAGAGAAGCGUCUGGAAGGCUUCGCCGAGGAGGUGGCUCUGGCUCAGUCCAUCACGCAGCCUUGUGACCCAGCUUGUAACAUUCCAAGCUGUUAUCUAAGCUUUCUGUUGUCCUUUAGUUUCUUGCCCAGCGUGACUGGUCUCACUGACUAGUUAGCU
rnacentral:lncRNA from 1 species